AUUGAACGCUGGCGGAAUGCUUUACACAUGCAAGUCGAACGGCAGCACGGGGGCAACCCUGGUGGCGAGUGGCGAACGGGUGAGUAAUACAUCGGAACGUGCCCAGUCGUGGGGGAUAACUACGCGAAAGCGUAGCUAAUACCGCAUACGAACUCUGGUUGAAAGCGGGGGAUCGCAAGACCUCGCGCGAUUGGAGCGGCCGAUGGCAGAUUAGGUAGUUGGUGGGGUAAAGGCCUACCAAGCCGACGAUCUGUAGCUGGUCUGAGAGGACGACCAGCCACACUGGGACUGAGACACGGCCCAGACUCCUACGGGAGGCAGCAGUGGGGAAUUUUGGACAAUGGGCGCAAGCCUGAUCCAGCCAUUCCGCGUGCAGGAUGAAGGCCCUCGGGUUGUAAACUGCUUUUGUACGGAACGAAAAGCGCUGGGUUAAUACCUCGGCGUCAUGACGGUACCGUAAGAAUAAGCACCGGCUAACUACGUGCCAGCAGCCGCGGUAAUACGGUA
rnacentral:rRNA from 1 species